GACGAACGCUGGCGGCGUGCUUAACACAUGCAAGUCGAACGGAAAGGCCUUUUCGGCGGUACUCGAGUGGCGAACGGGUGAGUAACACGUGGGUGAUCUGCCCUGCACUCUGGGAUAAGCCUGGGAAACUGGGUCUAAUACCGGAUAGGACCGCACUUUAGUGUGUGUGGUGGAAAGUUUUUUCGGUGUAGGAUGAGCCCGCGGCCUAUCAGCUUGUUGGUGGGGUAAUGGCCUACCAAGGCGGCGACGGGUAGCCGGACUGAGAGGUUGGUCGGCCACAUUGGGACUGAGAUACGGCCCAGACUCCUACGGGAGGCAGCAGUGGGGAAUAUUGCACAAUGGGCGCAAGCCUGAUGCAGCGACGCCGCGUGGGGGAGGACGGCCUUCGGGUUGUAAACUCCUUUCGCCAGGGACGAAGCGUUUUGUGACGGUACCUGGAGAAGAAGCACCGGCUAACUACGUG
rnacentral:rRNA from 1 species